UACGGAAGGCAGCAGUGGGGAAUAUUGCACAAUGGGCGAAAGCCUGAUGCAGCUAUGCCGCGUGUAUGAAGAAGGCCUUAGGGUUGUAAAGUACUUUCAUCGGGGAGGAAAAACAAAACUAAUAAUUUUAUUUCUUGACGUUACCCGAAAAAGAAGCACCGGCUAACUCCGUGCCAGCAGCCGCGGUAAUACGGAGGGUGCUAGCGUUAAUCAGAAUUACUGGGCGUAAAGAGCACGUAGGUGGUUUUUUUAAAGUCAGAUGUGAAAUCCCUGGGCUUAACCUGGAACUGCAUUUUGAAACUGAAAUACUAGAGUAUCGUAGAGGGAGGUAGAAUUCUAGGUGUAGCGGUGAAAUGCGUAGAUAUCUGGAGGAAUACCUGUGGCGAAAGCGGCCUCCUAAACGAAUACUGACACUGAGGUGCGAAAAGCGUGGGGAGCAAAACAGGGAUUAGAUACC
rnacentral:rRNA from 1 species